GCGGGGGUGGCCGAGCUUGGAAAAGGCGCGGGACUUAAGAUCCCGUGCGUAGAGCUACGCGGGUUCAAAUCCCGCCCCCCGCA
rnacentral:tRNA from 3 species